rnacentral:rRNA from 1 species
UACGUAGGGGGCAAGCGUUAUUCGGAAUUACUGGGCGUAAAGCGUGCGCAGGCGGCUAGGCAAGUCAGAUGUGAAAUCCCCGGGCUCAACCUGGGAACUGCAUUUGUGACUGCAUGGCUAGAGUACGGUAGAGGGGGAUGGAAUUCCGCGUGUAGCAGUGAAAUGCGUAGAUAUGCGGAGGAACACCGAUGGCGAAGGCAAUCCCCUGGACCUGUACUGACGCUCAUGCACGAAAGCGUGGGGAGCAAACAGG